GGAAAUUAAGAAACUGUUUCUUAACUUUUAACUAAAAAAACUAAGAACCGGUUCUUAAAUAAGGCCUUUAAGAGCCGGUUCUUAGCUUUUUUAGUAAAAGUUAAGAAACAGUUUCUUAAUUUCC
rfam:Brassica oleracea var. oleracea cultivar TO1000 chromosome C1, whole genome shotgun sequence